UUCCGUAGGGUACCUGCGGAGGGAUCAUUACCGAGUUUACAACUCCCAAACCCCUGUGAACAUACCAAUUGUUGCCUCGGCGGAUCAGCCCGCUCCCGGUAAAACGGGACGGCCCGCCAGAGGACCCCUAAACUCUGUUUCUAUAUGUAACUUCUGAGUAAAACCAUAAAUAAAUCAAAACUUUCAACAACGGAUCUCUUGGUUCUGGCAUCGAUGAAGAACGCAGCAAAAUGCGAUAAGUAAUGUGAAUUGCAGAAUUCAGUGAAUCAUCGAAUCUUUGAACGCACAUUGCGCCCGCCAGUAUUCUGGCGGGCAUGCCUGUUCGAGCGUCAUUUCAACCCUCAAGCCCCCGGGUUUGGUGUUGGGGAUCGGCGAGCCCUUGCGGCAAGCCGGCCCCGAAAUCUAGUGGCGGUCUCGCUGCAGCUUCCAUUGCGUAGUAGUAAAACCCUCGCAACUGGUACGCGGCGCGGCCAAGCCGUUAAACCCCCAACUUCUGAAUGUUGACCUCGGAUCAGGUAGGAAUACCCGCUGAACUUAAGCAUAUCAAUAAGCGGAGGAA
rnacentral:rRNA from 1 species